UAUUAGAUGCAUGGAAUAAUAGAAUAUGAUCUCGGUUCUAUUUUGUUGGUUUUCAGAACUCCGAGGUAAUGAUUAAUAGGAACAACUGGGGGCAUUCGUAUCGCGACGUUAGAGGUGAAAUUCUUGGAUCGCGCAAGAGGACAUCAUCGAAAGCAUUUGCCUUAGGUGUUUUC
rnacentral:rRNA from 1 species